UGACGCUGGCGGCUGCCUACCAUUCAACGUCGAACGGCAGCGCGGGCUUCGGCCUGGCGGCGAGUGGCGAACGGGUGAGUAAUAUAUCGGAACGUGCCCUGGAGUGGGGGAUAACUAGUCGAAAGAUUAGCUAAUACCGCAUACGAUCUACGGAUGAAAGUGGGGGAUCGCAAGACCUCAUGCUCGUGGAGCGGCCGAUAUCUGAUUAGCUAGUUGGUGGGGUAAGAGCCCACCAAGGCGACGAUCAGUAGCUGGUCUGAGAGGACGACCAGCCACACUGGGACUGAGACACGGCCCAGACUCCUACGGGAGGCAGCAGUGGGGAAUUUUGGACAAUGGGGGCAACCCUGAUCCAGCAAUGCCGCGUGUGUGAAGAAGGCCUUCGGGUUGUAAAGCACUUUUGUCCGGAAAGAAAUCCGCUGGGUGAAUACCCCGGCGGGAUGACGGUACCGGAAGAAUAAGCACCGGCUAACUACGUGCCAGCAGCCGCGGUAAUACGUAGGGUGCGAGCGUUAAUCGGAAUUACUGGGCGUAAAGCGUGCGCAGGCGGUUGGGCAAGACCGAUGUGAAAGCCCCGGGCUUAACCUGGGAAUGGCAUUGGU
rnacentral:rRNA from 1 species